rnacentral:rRNA from 1 species
UACGGGGGGGGGCAAGCGUUGUUCGGAAUUACUGGGCGUAAAGGGCUGGUAGGCGGCCAACUAAGUCGGAUGUGAAAUCCCCAGGCUUAACCUGGGAACUGCAUCCGAUACUGGUCGGCUUGAAUCCGGGAGAGGGAUGCAGAAUUCCAGGUGUAGCGGUGAAAUGCGUAGAUAUCUGGAGGAACACCGGUGGCGAAGGCGGCAUCCUGGACCGAUACUGACGCUGAGGAGCGAAAGCCAGGGGAGCAAACGGG